GUCCCAAUUAAGCUAAUAAAGAGUGCUUAUUCUGAUUCAUGGGAAACCAAAAUUAAACUCAAAUGGAAGUUUCGCUGAGAAACCCAUUUAACUCAUCCAUAUAUAU